rnacentral:rRNA from 1 species
GACGAACGCUGGCGGCGUGCUUCAUACAUGCAAGUCGAACGGCAGCGGGGGAGAAGCUUGCUUUUCCUGCCGGCGAGUGGCGAACGGGUGAGUAAUACAUCGGAACGUGCCCUGUAGUGGGGGAUAACUAGUCGAAAGAUUAGCUAAUACCGCAUACGACCUGAGGGUGAAAGUGGGGGACCGCAAGGCCUCAUGCUAUAGGAGCGGCUGAUGUCUGAUUAGCUAGUUGGUGGGGUAAAGGCCUACCAAGGCGACGAUCAGUAGCUGGUCUGAGAGGACGAUCAGCCACACUGGGACUGAGACACGGCCCAGACUCCUACGGGAGGCAGCAGUGGGGAAUUUUGGACAAUGGGCGAAAGCCUGAUCCAGCAAUGCCGCGUGUGUGAAGAAGGCCUUCGGGUUGUAAAGCACUUUUGUCCGGAAAGAAAUGGCUCUGGUUAAUACCUGGGGUCGAUGACGGUACCGGAAGAAUAAGGACCGGCUAACUACGUGCCAGCAGCCGCCGUAA